CUAUGUAUUUGACCUUUCCUUAGCAACGAAACAUGUACGUACGACCCAACGACCCAUUUGCUAGCAGUCGGAGAUAUCAAAAAGCACUAAUUUAAAUCUUUUGAUUAUUUGUUGCGCGUUGUGUGCCCCGGUGAGCUCGUCGUACUUCAUUCACGUUUUUUUCAAUUGAGAAUACUUGGUAUUCCGUUAAAAAACGCCCGUCGGUGGAAAAACAGUGUAUACUCCGUGAUUAUCAUGUCGCGUCUGUCGGCUAUUAUCGGCCUGGUGGCCCUGUGUGUCGUGCUCCUCCUCCAGACGUACCCCUCCGCCGUAGAAGCCGCCGGAACACCGGCACCAGCGGCCGGUGCCACCACCGCAAACGCUACCGCGAGCGGAGCGGAACAGUGUGUAUCGUCCGCGGGAUUGCUGGCCACCACCGCUUUCCUACUGAAGCAGACCAUCGCACUCUGAGGAACAAGGCGGAUAUGUAUAUAAUUCCUUUAGAAAGUGCCUCUCAAAAGAAUGCUCCAACAAAUGAUGAUGUAUUCCACAGAGUAUCUCUGCGCUAUUUAAAAAAAACGUGAAUUUCCGAUGUUUGAAAAAAAAUGAAUCCGUUUCCUCGUGCAGAAGUAAAGAAACAAGAUUUCGUUUGGUUCACUAUAUAAUAUACAAUUUACGGCAAUCUGUUGUGGAAUAAAUGCCAGCCAAUUUUAAAAUGUGCCAAAAAUAUCAGUAAAAUACAUAUCCGGAAA